AUNGACGGGGACCCGCACCANCGGUGGAUGAUGUGGAUUAAUUCGAUGCAACGCGAAAAACCUUACCUACCCUUGACAUGUACGGAAUCCUGCCCGAGAGGUGGGAGUGCCCGAAAGGGAGCUGUAACACAGGUGCUGCAUGGCUGUCGUCAGCUCGUGUCGUGAGAUGUUGGGUUAAGUCCCGCAACGAGCGCAACCCUUGUCCCUAGUUGCUACGCAAGAGCANUCCCAGGGAGACUGNCCGGUGACAAAUCCGGAGGAAGGUGGGGAUGACGUCAAGUCCUCAUGGCCCUUAUGGGUAGGGCUUCAUCAGCGUCAUACAAUGGUCGGAACAGAGGGUUGCCAAGCCGCCGAGGUGGAGCCAAUCCCAGAAAACCGAUCGUAGUCCGGAUCGCAGUCUGCAACUCGAGCUGCGUGAAGUCUGGAAUCGCUAGUAAUCGCGGAUCAGCAUG
rnacentral:rRNA from 1 species